UACGUAGGGCGCAAGCGUUGUCCGGAAUUAUUGGGCGUAAAGAGCUCGUAGGCGGUUUGUCGCGUCGAAUGUGAAAACUCGGGGCUCAACUCCGAGCUUGCAUUCGAUACGGGCAGGCUAGAGUUCGGUAGGGGAGACUGGAAUUCCCAGUGUAGCGGUGAAAUGCGUAGAUAUUGGGAGGAACAUCAGUAGCGAAGGCGGCUUCUGGGUCACACCUGACACUGAGGUACGAAAGCGUGGGGAGCAAACGGG
rnacentral:rRNA from 1 species